rnacentral:lncRNA from 1 species
UGUUUAAUUGCUGAGUUGGUUGAGAAGUUGUUUUCUUUUGAUUACAGUGUCAGUGGAGUAAUAGCAGAGGGGACUACAAAGUCUAGUUUCUUUGUGAGUUGCAUGAUCAAUGAAAAACCUUAUCGAUCUAUACUUUCUUGCUUUCAAUACGUAAAUCCAAUUUUCAUAAUCUCAUUCAUCACACCAAACCUUUCACCAUCACAAGCUUCCAUACUGGACCAACUUUCGAACACUUCAUGUAGCACAUUGACCGUUGAAGUUCAUUUGGAUACUCCUUGGGAAAUGAAAUUGUGCACUGACAGGAGCCCGAUCAUUACUCGCUAAUAUUCGGUUUGCAACGUUUGUCCUGCAUUCCCUCUGACUAAUGUUGUUUCUACCUAUAUAUGUUGGCUCCCUUUCUUCUUUUGGUGUUGUAUUAGCAGAUAUACGUAGUUAGAUUCUGAGUUCUAAUAUUUAUUGCAGAUUCCAAUUAUUGUACUCUUCCUUUUAACUAUAUGGCUUAAGUUUUUAUUCUACUUCUUUUGCUUCUUUCAUAUCUCUGUGGCUACUCUGUUGUUAUAUUGGUUGAUCAACCGGAUCCCCAGCAAAGUUGGCUAGCUGGUGACUAAGUAUCUCGUCAACACUCCAUAGCAAUGGUACAGAAAAUCCGAUGAGCAGUCAUUAUUACAGGAACAAGUUACUAGGUCCUUAUUUUCUGUAUGUUUUAUUAUUAUUUCCAGUUAGCAUUCAUAUUGGGGAAAAUUAAUCGUUUCUUUCUUGACUAGGAUUAUAACUGUUUUAAAUGUUAAUCCUGCUUUCCAAAUGUUUUUGUGUGCAUA